CCGGUAAUACCGGCUUUCAGAGUGGUCGGGACGAUUAUUGGGACUUAAGCGUUCGUAGCCGGCUUCGCAAUUCUCCUGUUAAAUUCAGCGAAUUAAUCGGUGAGCCCCGGGAGAUAGUUAUACGGUAGGAGGCGGGAGAGGCCGACGGUAUUCCCGGGGUCGGGGUGAAGUCCGAUAAUCCCGG
rnacentral:rRNA from 1 species